ensembl:lncRNA
CACGGAGAUUCCUUCUGAGGAUCGCAGCCUCUACGUCCACAGGCUCUCGUAGAAAAGGACAUGCCAAAACUAACACUUCCUUCUGUCGGAGAGCUGCCUUCAGCCUUAUAGACAACAAACUCAGAGUAGGUCUAACCACCUCCCGAGCAGGGGCCCGUUUCAGAAAGCAGAGGCCUGUUUCAGGUAGCUGGUUUAACAUACUCUGAGUUUAAUCCUGCGCUCCGAGUUGGUUGACUCAGAGUUCAGGGUUGAAAAGCACUCCUGGGUUUUCGGUUUCAGAACAGGUGAUCAGCGUUGGGUUAAUCAACUCUGAGUAUGUUCACUCUGGGUUGAGGGCGUGCCUGUUGACUAUGAAGAGCCAUCAUCAAUGGAUCUCUGAUAACAUGAUCAAACAUGGACCAAAAGCGUAGAUCCACUUACUUUUCCCCCACGGAAUUGGAAAUUCUAAUGAACGUGUAUGCCGAGCAGUUACCCAUUGUAACAAAAAAAAAGCAAUACCGCCGCGGCAGCGAGAGCGCGAGAGAGAGCUUGGCAGGAAAUAGCUGAACAAGUCAAUGCCAAAUGAAGUACAAAAAUAUAGUUUAAACAGCAAAUCGAAAAAAUGCAGAGGCCCGGCAGACUGGAGGGGGUCCACCACCUGCAGCCCUCACAGAGGCUGAGGAGAUGGCCCUCAGCCAACAGAGUAUGCGUCCUGUGGCUGAGGGCAUCCCUGGGGGGAGCUCCUCUGAUCCCCCCCACCCCCCAGGAUAGAAGUGCCUUUACAGUAUAAGAG